CCACCAUCCAUGGUAAUGGUGAAAGAUACUCCCCCUCCACCACCACCUCCACCUCCACCUCCACCUCUUGCACCGUCCAUGAUCAUGCCAAAUGUAACAUUACCACCCUCAGUUCCAACACCACCUGAGAUGCAGCCAAAUGUAGCACCACCACCACCACCUCUACCUCCUCCUCCACCAUCAGCACCAAAAUUGGAGCAAAAUGCUGCACCAAUUAGGAUGCCUCCACCUCCACCACCACCACCACCAC
rnacentral:misc_RNA from 1 species